CAAAUGACUCUCGGCAAUGGAUAUAUCGGCUCUUGCAUCGAUGAAGAACGUAGUGAAAUGCGAUACUUGGUGUGAAUUGCAGAAUCUCGUGAACCAUUGAGUCUUUGAACGCAAGUUGUGCCCGGAGCCUUGUGGCCGAGGGCACGCCUGCUUGGGCGUCAUGGC
rnacentral:rRNA from 1 species